GACGAACCGAGCGAACGUUGUUCGGAAUCACUGGGCUUAAAGGGCGCGUAGGCGGGUGCUCAAGUCCGUGGUGAAAUCCUCCGGCUCAACCGGAGAACUGCCUCGGAUACUGGGUGCCUCGAGGGUGGUAGGGGUAUGCGGAACUAUCGGUGGAGCGGUGAAAUGCGUUGAUAUCGAUAGGAACUCCGGUGGCGAAGGCGGCAUACUGGACCGGCAUUGACGCUGAGGAGCGAAAGCCAGGGGAGCAAACGGG
rnacentral:rRNA from 1 species